GAGGCCCUAGAUUUGAAAAUGAAAGUACAAAAGCGACACCUACCGGAAAAUAUAUUUUCGGCACUCUCGGGUGGUACCAUAAAUGUUAUGUUUUUCGGAAGUCUUCUGUAUUUUAGAUUUCAAUAAUGUAAAAAUUGGCGGGAAUUAUUAGGUACACACUGUCUUUCAUCUUCAUAUUAUGGUAAACUCCCGAGAGAGCCAAAAAUAUAUUUUCCGGUAGGUGUCGCUUUUGUACUUUCAUUUUCAAAUCUAGGGCCUCGAUUCGUUCUAUUUCAGAAAUGUCG
rnacentral:lncRNA from 1 species